rnacentral:rRNA from 1 species
GACNGGAGCUUGCUCCUUGAUUCCCGGCGGACGGCUGAGUAAUGCCUCAGAAUCUGCCUGGUCCUGGGGAGACAACUCCUCCUAAAGAGGGCUGCUUCUACCGCCUUACACUCCUAUGGGGAGAAAGUGCGGGGAGACUUUUUGAACUCUCGCGGCUAAAAUGAAAGCCAUGUUUGAGUUAAUUAGUUGCGGGGGGGGGAAAGUGGCCCCCCAAGGCGCAAAUCUCUUUUGUGGUGGUUAAGAAAGAACUACCCCCCCCGCGGAGAAAUAAACACCUCCCCAAUUCUCCACGGGGGGGGGUGUGGGGGGAAUUUUUGCCAAGGGGGCGAAAACCUUCUUUCUCCCUCCCUGCGGGUGGGGAAAAGAAACCCUCCCCAGAUAAUUAAACACUUUUUUAUUUGGGGGGGAGAAGGCGGGAAUGAUCACCCCCCCCCCCGUUGUUGUUCUCUCCGCCCCCCAUACAAAUAUAACCACCCCGAUGUUCUUUUUUUGUUACGCCUACCCAUCUUGUUUAUAACAACAAGGGGCGGUGCCCCAGUUCUCAUUCAAUUUAUUUGCUGGCCGGAAUUCCUACCCCCCGCCCCCUUUGGCUACCUUCUCUCUCAUUCUCUCCGGUGCCCAAGAAUAUCCAGCCCCCCCCAACCUCGCCGAGUCUAGCCUUCUCCCUCCCCCUAGUAAGGGGGUGUGAACAUGUAUUUUCUUCUUACAUGGUCGGUGGUGGCUGGUUUCUCUCCCCCUUCCCCGUCCG